AACGAACGCUGGCGGCAGGCCUAAUACAUGCAAGUCGAGGGGCCCGUAAGGGCACCGGCGCACGGGUGCGUAACGCGUGGGAAUAUACCCUUCACUACGGAACAACGUCGGGAUACUGACGCUAAUACCGUAUGAUGACUCCGGUCCAAAGAUUUAUCGGUGAAGGAUUAGCCCGCGUCUGAUUAGCUAGUUGGUGAGGUAACGGCUCACCAAGGCGACGAUCAGUAGCUGGUCUGAGAGGAUGAUCAGCCACACUGGGACUGAGACACGGCCCAGACUCCUACGGGAGGCAGCAGUAAGGAAUAUUGGACAAUGGAGGAAACUCUGAUCCAGCCAUGCCGCGUGAGUGAAGAAGGCCUUCGGGUUGUAAAGCUCUUUUAAUCGUGAAGAUAAUGACGGUAGCGAUAGAAAAAGCUCCGGCUAAAUUCGUGCCAGCAGCCGCAGUAA
rnacentral:rRNA from 1 species